ACACGGAGGGGGCGAGCGUUGUUUGGAAUUACUGGGCGUAAAGCGCGCGCAGGCGGCGGUGCAAGUCGGUCGUGAAAGCCCUCGGCUCAACCGAGGAACUGCGUCCGAUACUGCAUCGCUUGAGUCCGGUAGGGGGUAGCGGAAUUCCCGGUGUAGCGGUGGAAUGCGUAGAUAUCGGGAGGAACACCGAUGGCGAAGGCGGCUACCUGGGCCGGUACUGACGCUGAGGCGCGAAAGCCAGGGGAGCAAACAGGAUUAGAAACCCUUGUAGUCC
rnacentral:rRNA from 1 species